rnacentral:rRNA from 1 species
GAUGAACGCUGGCGGCGUGCUUAACACAUGCAAGUCGAACGGAAAGGCUCCAGCUUGCUGGGGUGCUCGAGUGGCGAACGGGUGAGUAACACGUAAGUGAUCUGCCCUGCACUGGGGGAUAAGCUUGGGAAACUGGGUCUAAUACCCUAUAGGACCGCAUCGUGGUUGGUGUGGUGGAAAGGUUUUUCUGGUGUGGGAUGAGCUUGCGGCCUAUCAGCUUGUUGGUGGGGUAAUGGCCUACCAAGGCGGCGACGGGUAGCCGGCCUGAGAGGGUGUGCGGCCACAUUGGGACUGAGAUACGGCCCAGACUCCUACGGGAGGCAGCAGUGGGGAAUUUUGCACAAUGGGCGGAAGCCUGAUGCAGCGACGCCGUGUGGGGGAUGAAGGCCUUCGGGUUGUAAACUCCUUUCGUCAGGGACAAAGUUUUCUUGACGGUACCUGGAUAAGAAGCACCGGCUAACUACGUGCCAGCAGC